rnacentral:tRNA from 1 species
GUUGUCGUGGCCGAGUGGUUAAGGUGAUGGACUAGAAAUCCAUUGGGGUUACCCCGCGCAGGUUCAAAUCCUGCCGAUAACG